AUUGAACGCUGGCGGCAGGCCUAACACAUGCAAGUCGAACGGUAACAGGAAGCAGCUUGCUGCUUCGCUGACGAGUGGCGGACGGGUGAGUAAUGUCUGGGAAACUGCCUGAUGGAGGGGGAUAACUACUGGAAACGGUAGCUAAUACCGCAUAACGUCGCAAGACCAAAGAGGGGGACCUUCGGGCCUCUUGCCAUCGGAUGUGCCCAGAUGGGAUUAGCUAGUAGGUGGGGUAACGGCUCACCUAGGCGACGAUCCCUAGCUGGUCUGAGAGGAUGAACAGCCACACUGGAACUGAGACACGGUCCAGACUCCUACGGGAGGCAGCAGUGGGGAAUAUUGCACAAUGGGCGCAAGCCUGAUGCAGCCAUGCCGCGUGUAUGAAGAAGGCCUUCGGGUUGUAAAGUACUUGCAGCGGGGAGGAAGGCGACAAGGUUAAUAACCUUGUCGAUUGACGUUACCCGCAGAAGAAGCACCGGCUAACUCCGUGCCAGCCGCCGCCGUAA
rnacentral:rRNA from 1 species